UACGAGUGCCUCAAGCGUUAUCCGGAAUUAUUGGGCGUAAAGGGUGCGUAGGCGGCUUCAUUAGUCUCGCGUUAAAUCUACCGGCUCAACCGGUAGGCUGCGUGGGAAACGGUGAAGCUUAGAGGACGGAAGAGGUCUCUGGAACUCAUGGUGUAGCGGUGAAAUGCGUUGAUAUCAUGGGGAACACCAAAAGCGAAGGCAAGAGACUGGUCCGCUCCUGACGCUGAAGCACGAAAGCGUGGGUCGCGAAUGGG
rnacentral:rRNA from 1 species